CUGUGUGUAGACACUCAGAGCAACAGAAACAAGAAUUCAAGAUCUUGAAAACAUUCGGAUAUCGAAGGAACUAAACUGAAUGAGUUUCGAAAUAUCAUGCACUCCAGCAGACAUGUCCUCGUAGCUCAGUUGGCAGAGCACUGGAUUAGUAAACCAAAGGUCGCUUGUUCGAUGCCAAGCUAACUUUUCAGCUUGCCCGGUGUGGACACACUCAGAGCAACAUUACAUCUUCACCUGAAGUGCACAACACCAGAAACAAGAAUUGAAGUGAGGUUUUGUCGAAAUCCGUCAAGCGUCACCAAGCGAAUAUUGCAUGAAAUAUAAACGCUGUUUUUGACAAUGAAUUUUGUUAAUUAAUUAAGCAACUUGUGGCACAGUACCUGACGAGUGACGGCCAAAAUUGACUACAACAUAGUCCAACUAAAAAUGAAAUGUGAUCUGAAAGUUUCAAAUACAUUCAGAUGCUUCUCACGAAUGUUCUUUCUCAAAGCAAGGAAAUAGUUCGAUAGAUCUAAGCCCGGAUUAAACGAGGAUGAGAGUGGGUGUGUUGGUAUGAUUUCAGACGUUAUUAGAACUUUCGAUACGAUAACAGACUUACAUAAAGUACUGACUGAGAUAAGAGGCGAGCCCGCGGUAAAUAGGACGACAACGUGUAAACAACGUUUUGGUUUUUGGUUUUAAUACACCACAGUGUUUUACCGCUCAAAAGGCUCAAUAAUUCGACGAUAUUUGUAAAGAAAUAAAAGUUUAUACAUUGUUUAAGUACAUUAUCGUUUUCUUUGAGUAAUUAUGUUUGCAUGCGCGUUGAAAUACGUGGGUAUAUAGCGUUACCAAUACAGUAAAACACUAGUGAUCGAAGAAAUCAAUCAGGACGGUGACGUUCGUGAGCUAUAAAGAAGCCGACUUUAAAGGAGUUUUGCCUGCCAAAUACUCGAAGUUGCUUGACGUAGUUAUCAUUGGGUCAUUGGUCGAUGUUAUGAACUAAAAUAUGAGUGUCCAA